rnacentral:rRNA from 1 species
CCUACGGUGCGCAGCAGUCGAGAAUUAUUCACAAUGGGGGAAACCCUGAUGGUGCGACGCCGCGUGGGGGAAUGAAGGUCUUCGGAUUGUAAACCCCUGUCAUGUGGGAGCAAAUUAAAAAGAUAGUACCACAAGAGGAAGAGUCGGCUAACUCUGUGCCAGCAGCCGCGGUAAUACAGAGGUCUCAAGCGUUGUUCGGAAUCACUGGGCGUAAAGCGUGCGUGGGCUGUGUUGUAAGUCGUGUGUGAAAGGCGCGGGCUCAACCCGCGGACGGCACAUGAUACUGCGAGACUAGAGUAAUGGAGGGGGAACCGGAAUUCGCGGUGUAGCAGUGAAAUGCGUAGAUAUCGAGAGGAACACUCGUGGCGAAGGCGGGUUCCUGGACAUUAACUGACGCUGAGGCACGAAGGCCAGGGGAGCGAAAGGGAUUAGAUACCCUAGUAGUC